rnacentral:rRNA from 1 species
CUACUGCUAUCGGGGUCCGACUAAGCCAUGCGAGUUGAGAGGGGUAAGCCCUCGGCAUAUUGCUCAGUAACACGCGGAUAACCUGCCCUUGGGUUUGGGAUAACCCCGGGAAACUGGGACUAAUACCGGAUAGAUCAAAGAAACUGGAAUGUUCUUUGGUUGAAAGCUCCGGCGCCCAAGGAUGGGUCUGCGGCCUAUCAGGUAGUAGUGGGUGUAACGUACCUACUAGCCUACGACGGGUAAGGGUUGUGAGAGCAAGAGCCCUGAGAUGGAUUCUGAGACAUGAAUCCAGGCCCUACGGGGUGCAGCAGGCGCGAAAACUUUACACUGCGGGAAACCGCGAUAAGGGGACCCCGAGUGCCAGCACCUAGUGCUGGCUGUCCAGCUGUUCAAAAAACAGUUGUUAGCAAGGGCCGGGCAAGACCGGUGCCAGCCGCCGCGGUAACACCGGCGGCCCGAGUGGUAGCCGUUAUUAUUGGGUUUAAAGGGUCCGUAGCCGGCCUAUUAAGUCUCUUGGGAAAUCUGGCGACUCAAUCGUCAGGCGUUCAAGAGAUACUGGUAGGCUUGGGACCGGGAGAGGUGGGAGGUACUCCAGGGGUAGGGUGAAAUCUCGUAAUCCUUGGGGGACCACCGAUGGCGAAAGCAUCCC